GUGGGGAAUAUUGGACAAUGGGCGCAAGCCUGAUCCAGCAAUGCCGCGUGCAGGAAGAAGGCCUUCGGGUUGUAAACUGCUUUUGUACGGAACGAAACGGUCCGGGUUAAUACCCUGGGCUAAUGACGGUACCGUAAGAAUAAGCACCGGCUAACUACGUGCCAGCAGCCGCGGUAAUACGUAGGGUGCAAGCGUUAAUCGGAAUUACUGGGCGUAAAGCGUGCGCAGGCGGUUUUGUAAGACAGGCGUGAAAUCCCCGGGCUCAACCUGGGAAUUGCGCUUGUGACUGCAAGGCUGGAGUGCGGCAGAGGGGGAUGGAAUUCCGCGUGUAGCAGUGAAAUGCGUAGAUAUGCGGAGGAACACCGAUGGCGAAGGCAAUCCCCUGGGCCUGCACUGACGCUCAUGCACGAAAGCGUGGGGAGCAAACAGGAUUAGAAACCCUAGUAGUCC
rnacentral:rRNA from 1 species